AAUAAUUAACUACACAAAUCAUCGCAACGAUAUUCAUCAGGGGUAUCAAAUUCAUGAUUCAUAAUAUUGCGAAAGAAAAUCACUCAAUCAAUAAUCGAGAAUUGAGACAUGACAUAUAAACAUUAUCAAUGUAAGUAAAAGAUUAUUAACCUAUCUAAUUCUAAUCAAUUAUUAAUCCAUCACUCCCCUACCUCGACUCCAAAGCUAGCAAAGUCUCCUUCCUUAGCUUUCCCGAGCACAAAGGCACCUCCAAGUCUAAUGCCGAACGUCGGAGUAAAAAGAAAUGACAAACAAAGCAAAAGUUAGAAUAUUGUAAUAUAAAACAGAAAACUUGUAUAAUUUUCCAGUUCUGCGGACAGAAUAUGAGCAGAUUUUUUACUAAUCAAAACUCAAUGAAAAUUUAUGAAUUUAUAUUCUUUGGAAUGCUUGAAGAACCAUAUUUUCAAGAUAUAAAUUUUGUUAAAAUCCGAGCUCUGGACUGAGAGAAAUCACGAGUUAAAAUAAUUAGUAUGUGCACAAAUCUGCACCAGAGUUUUACACAGGUUCAAGGGAACCUGUUUGAACAUGGCCCAUCAAAUUUCAAUGAAAAUCUUCGUGUAAAUACUCACUUUAAAGCGUAUGAAUCCCUCUUCAAUCCUAUGGAAAACAAUUCUGAAAACAAGCUUGCUAAUGAUAGAAAAUAGGGAAGAAAGAAGGAACCACAAAACUGAAAGUUCUGAAAUCUGCACAAAGAAAAUUUUGAGCACUUGCAACUUAAAUUCUUUUGAUUUUCCAGUGCUUCAAACAGGAUCAUAAGGAUGCGAAAUACUGGAAGGGUUUGUUUUCAGACCAACAAUAUGGAGUAAAACAUGAAAACUUAAAAUUGAAAAGAAUUACUCUAGACACCCAAGAUGAAGAACGAUUAAAAAAAAUAUUGGAAUUUGAAGAACUUGUGAAAACUGACCUUGAGAACUUCUUCCUCAGAACUUUAGAACUUCCACUCUCCCACUAAUUUUAUAUUACUUUUUGUAGAGAAAGAAAAUAUGGAUAUUGAUUCGGUUUGAAAUUGUUCUUGCAGGAUAAACUACUACGCUUCUAUGGUUCUACCUCUUCCUCCAUAGCUGAGAUUAGUUAGCUUCUCCACCUCCUGCUUAAAAAUUCCAUCCCUUAGUAAGAGUCAACCUUUAACAAAAAGCUUCCGAUAAUGUUCACUUUAACGAAAAACCACAUUUUUACACUAAAAAGUCAAUUCUGGUACUAUUCAUUUGACCCUUUAUUUUGUCCUUAUCGUUAAAACUCAAAGUUUUUAAGCUAUUUUUAUUAGUUUUCCUAAUGUUUAUUAAUAUAAGCACACUAGGGUGCUCACACAUCACUUGGGUGAAGAUUUUAUGAAGAACAUAAGAACAAAGACAAACAAUGAAGCAAAGAUUGCUGAAAAAGG
rnacentral:lncRNA from 1 species